rnacentral:rRNA from 1 species
CCUACGGGGGGCAGCAGUGAGGAAUAUUGGUCAAUGGGCGGAAGCCUGAACCAGCCAAGUAGCGUGCAGGAUGACGGCCCUACGGGUUGUAAACUGCUUUUAUACGGGAAUAACGCGCCUUACGUGUAGGGCUUUGCAUGUACCGUAGGAAUAAGGACGGGCUAAUUCCGUGCCAGAGGCCGCGGUAAUACGGAAGGUCCGGGCGUUAUCCGGAUUUAUUGGGUUUAAAGGGAGCGUAGGCCGCAUGACAAGCGUGCUGGGAAAGGUCCGGGCUCAACCCGGGCCUUGCAGCGCGAACUGGCGUGCUUGAGUCCGCGGAAAGCAGGCGGAAUUCGUCGUGUAGCGGUGAAAUGCUUAGAUAUGACGAAGAACCCCGAUUGCGAAGGCAGCUUGCUGCAGCGGAACUGACGCUGAUGCUCGAAAGCGCGGGUAUCGAACAGGAUUAGAUACCCUGGUAGUC